rnacentral:rRNA from 1 species
UACGGGGGGGGCAAGCGUUGUUCGGAAUUACUGGGCGUAAAGGGCUCGUAGGCGGCCAACUAAGUCGGAUGUGAAAUCCCCAGGCUUGACCUGGGAACUGCAUCCGAUACUGGAUGGCUUGAAUCCGGGAGAGGGAUGCAGAAUUCCAGGUGUAGCGGUGAAAUGCGUAGAUAUCUGGAGGAAUACCGGUGGCGAAGGCGGCAUCCUGGACCGGCAUUGACGCUGAUGAGCGAAAGCCAGGGGAGCAAACGGG